rnacentral:lncRNA from 1 species
GCAAAGGACUGGCCUCACCCAACUCAGGCGCAGCCUGGCUUUUCUCACUUUUCUAGGCUUCUGUUUUUCCCCACUUCAGGAGGGCAUUGUUCCAGCUGCAUCCCUUUCCAUCUUCCCUUUUCAAUUUAUGACCACUCACCUCCAACUGCCACCACGGACCUUGCCAUAGACUACGAAGAUUCAGGGAAAGUGGGUUUGCACCACAAGUGUAGACAGCGUCUGCUUCUAGCCUCGGGGGAGCAGUCCCAGAGAAGGUCUCAGCCAUCCUGAGAGGCUGGGAAAUCCAAGAUCAAGGCCGGCAGAUUCAGUGUCCGGGGAGGACGGCCACCUUCUUGCUGCGUCCUCACAGCUGUGUGGUGGAGAGAACUGCUUCUUCUUCCCUGAAUUGCUGCAACGUGGAACUGUGGGAGGCAAAGGAAACACUCCACAGGAACUCAUAAGGAAUUGAAACAUUAACACCGAUGCAUCACUUAAAAAUAAUAAUAAUGACU